GCAUAUCAAUAAGCGGAGGAAAAGAAACCAACAGGGAUUGCCCUAGUAACGGCGAGUGAAGCGGCAACAGCUCAAAUUUGAAAGCUGGCUCCGGCCCGCAUUGUAAUUUGCAGAGGAUGCUUUUGGCGAGGUGCCUUCCGAGUUCCCUGGAACGGGACGCCAUAGAGGGUGAGAGCCCCGUAUGGAUGGACACCAAACCUGUGUAAAGCUCCUUCAACGAGUCGAGUAGUUUGGGAAUGCUGCUCUAAAUGGGAGGUAAAUCUCUUCUAAAGCUAAAUACCGGCCAGAGACCGAUAGCGCACAAGUAGAGUGAUCGAAAGAUGAAAAGCACCUUGAAAAGGGGGUUAAACAGUACGUGAAAUUGUUGAAAGGGAAGCAUUUAUGACCAGACUUGCGCCGGGCAGCUCAUCAGGGGUUCUCCCCUGUGCACUCUGCCCGGCUCAGGCCAGCAUCGGUUCUCGUGGGAGGAUAAGAACAGUGGGAACGUGGCCCCCCUCCGGGGGGGUGUUAUAGCCCAUUGUACGAUACUCUCGUGGGGACCGAGGUUCGCGCUCCGCAAGGAUGCUGGCGUAAUGGUCAUCAAUGACCCGUCUUGAAACACGGACCAAGGAGUCGUCCAUUAGAGCGAGCGUUUGGGUGUAAAACCCGCACGCGUAAUGAAAGUGAACGCAGGUGAGAGCUUCGGCGCAUCAUCGACCGAUCCUGAUGUCUUCGGAUGGAUUUGAGUAAGAGUUUUAACGGACGGACCCGAAAGACAGUGAACUAUGCUUGUAUAGGGUGAAGCCAGAGGAAACUCUGGUGGAGGCUCGCAGCGGUUCUGACGUGCAAAUCGAUCGUCAAAUAUGAGCAUGGGGGCGAAAGACUAAUCGAACUGUCUAGUAGCUGGUUACCGCCGA
rnacentral:rRNA from 1 species